AAAUAAUUCCCUCAACACUAUCCAACUAUUUACAAAGUCUGCACUACUAUUAUUGUUAAUCUUCUCAUUGUUCCUUAUCACCCAUCCUCUCCCACUUGUGACUGUAUGACUGUCACUUUGUCACUUGCAUCCUUACGAUUUAUAUUGACUGUUUCCUAGUAUGAUUUGAUUGCUUAUUGUACCCUAUGACUAUUAUUAUUACGUGUUGUACCUUAUGAUUCUUUAUUCUUGAUGAAUGUAUCUUUUCCCUUAUGUACAUUGAGAGCAUUUGCACCAAGACAAAUUCCUUGUGUGUCCAAUCACACUUGGCCAAUAAAGAAUAUUCUAUUCUAUUCUAUAUGUACUUUGAGUUUGGACGGAAUUUCUUCCUUUUAAAAACUGUUUUGGGGAAAGUUUUCUUUUCUCCAGUCACAGAUAACUGGCCAUUGGGGACUAAGUUGGAGGCAUUAAAAGGACUUUACCUACUUUUGGGACUCUGUUGCUUUUGUGCCGCGCCUCUUUGGGUCAUCACAUGGGGCAGGACGAGCGCUAAGUCCUAUCGAAAACAGGUCAACCUGACCACAGCUGGAGAUGUGGUUUUCCUAUGGCAGCCUCUGGUCUGGUUGGCUGAGCGUCGUGCUUGCCAAGCGUCCUUGGGCGAGAGUCCCGGUCUCUUAAGCUGCAACCUGAUCAGGGCGCCAGAGUUCACGCGGCUGUCUCAGGUGCAACCGCAGGAAUUUGAGACGUCAGCAAACGGAUCCACUUGGUCUGGAAAACCAAUAUUUGCCAUUGUGUUCGAACGCGAGGCGAGACAGAAUGAAGCCACGGCCUGCACCGAAAGUAUGUGCCAUGAUGCAAGAAGGCGCGUCUGGUGUAUAAAAAUAAGAUAAAUAGACAUUAUGGUUCCCUAAGACAGAGGCGGUUUAGUCUACACGAGGUGAAGGCACCAGGCUGGAAAGCAGGAGGCUGGGAGUUCCAAUAAUAAUAAUAUAGUAUGCAUAGUUGAUCUAUACAGUAUGAAUUUUAAUCUAAACUUAGAAGGGAAAGACUGCUAAUUUUGUGCACAAGAGAUAUGUACCAACCGACACACUGUAUAUAAUGGAAAUAUGGCUUUAUUUGAUGUUUUGUGUUUGUGUUUGUCAAUGUUUGUUGUCAAAAUAAAUAAAUAAAAAUUAAAAAGAAAAGAGAGAGC
rnacentral:lncRNA from 1 species